rnacentral:rRNA from 1 species
UACGGAGGGAGCUAGCGUUGUUCGGAAUUACUGGGCGUAAAGCGUACGUAGGCGGUUAUUCAAGUCAGAGGUGAAAGCCCGGGGCUCAACCCCGGAACGGCCUUUGAAACUAGAUAGCUAGAGUCUUGGAGAGGUUAGUGGAAUUCCGAGUGUAGAGGUGAAAUUCGUAGAUAUUCGGAAGAACACCAGUGGCGAAAGCGGCUCACUGGACCAUAACUGACGCUGAUGCACGAAAGCUAGGGGAGCAAACAGG